GAUGAACGCUGGCGGCGUGCUUAACACAUGCGAGUCGAACGGGAAAUAUUUCAUUGAGACUUCGGUGGAUUUGAUUUAUUUCUAGUGGCGGACGGGUGAGUAACGCGUGGGUAACCUGCCUUAAACAGGGGGAUAACAGUCAGAAAUGGCUGCUAAUACCGCAUAAGCGCACAGAGCUGCAUGGCUCAGUGUGAAAAACUCCGGUGGUAUAAGAUGGACCCGCGUUGGAUUAGCUAGUUGGUGGGGUAACGGCCCACCAAGGCGACGAUCCAUAGCCGGCCUGAGAGGGUGAACGGCCACAUUGGGACUGAGACACGGCCCAGACUCCUACGGGAGGCAGCAGUGGGGAAUAUUGCACAAUGGGGGAAACCCUGAUGCAGCGACGCCGCGUGAAGGAAGAAGUAUCUCGGUAUGUAAACUUCUAUCAGCAGGGAAGAUAGUGACGGUACCUGACUAAGAAGCCCCGGCUAACUACGUG
rnacentral:rRNA from 1 species